rnacentral:rRNA from 1 species
UACAGAGGUCCCAAGCGUUGUUCGGAUUCACUGGGCGUAAAGGGUGCGUAGGUGGUUUGUUAAGUCCGGUGUGAAAUCUCCGAGCUCAACUCGGAAAUGGCAUUGGAUACUAGCAGACUUGAGGGUCGGAGGGGAGACUGGAAUUCUCGGUGUAGCAGUGAAAUGCGUAGAUAUCGAGAGGAACACCAGUGGCGAAGGCGAGUCUCUGGACGACUCCUGACACUGAGGCACGAAAGCUAGGGGAGCAAACAGG